rnacentral:rRNA from 1 species
AUGCACAGUCUUGCUCGUCAAUGUUCUCAACUUUGGUUGAAAACACGAGAAGAAAUUGGUUAUCCACUGGGCACUUACCAAGAGGCUAGUCUUGUAUACCCCCAUGUCUCUGAAAAGCUCAGCAGAAAGGAAGUGCUGGGGCAGGCACAGACGUUUGUUCUUGAAAUAGGAACAGAAGAGUUGCCGCCCCAUGAUGUGGUAGAAGCAACUGAACAACUUGAGAAAUCUCUAGUUCAAAUACUAGGGAAGCGUAGACUGAGCCAUGGGAAGGUGCUCUCCUAUGGGACACCACGGAGAUUAGCGGCUGUUGUUGAAAAUCUAAGUCUGAAGCAAAUGGAGGAAGAGGUUGAGUUACGCGGUCCGCCAGUUACAAAGGCAUUUGACCAAGAGGGAAAAACCACUAAGGCUGCUGAGGGGUUUUGUCGGAAAAAUAAUGUUCCCUUAGAUUCCUUAUACAGAAAAAUCGACGGUAAAACAGAGUAUAUAUAUGCCCGUGUCAAAGAGUCUGCACGAUACGCUGAUGAGGUCCUAUCUGAAGAUUUACCUACUAUUAUAUCUGGCAUUUCAUUCCCCAAGUCAAUGCGCUGGAACUCAAAUAUUGUGUUUAGUCGCCCUGUACGCUGGAUCAUGGCACUUCAUGGAGAUCUUGUUGUGCCAUUUUCUUUUGCUGGCAUCUCAAGUGGGAGCCAGUCAUGUGGCCUUCGUAACUCCUCUUUGGCGAAUUUUAAGGUGGAAACUGCAGAAUCAUAUUUGCACACUGUGGAAAAAGCUGGGAUCGUGAUUGAUAUGCAGGAGCGCAGAGCUAAAAUCUUGGAUGACCCUAGUACAUUGGCUAAAGGAGUUGAUGGGGAUUUCAUUGCACCUGAUAGCUUGCUGCAGGAGGUUGUCAAUCUUGUGGAGGCGCCUGUGCCCAUUCUUGGACGAUAUGAUGAUUCCUUCCUAGAACUUCCGAAAGAUGUGUUAACAACGGUCAUGCAGAAACACCAGAGGUAUUUUCCUGUAACCUCCAAGUCUACAGGCGAUCUGCUACCAUAUUUUAUUACCGUUGCUAAUGGUUCUAUUAGUGAAGAAGUGGUCCGUAAAGGCAAUGAAGCUGUACUCAGGGCAAGGUAUGAGGAUGCCAAGUUCUUUUAUAAGAUGGAUACACAAAAGAAUUUGUCUGAAUUCCGAGGCCAGCUGAAGAGCAUUCUCUUUCAUGAAAAACUUGGUACAAUGCUCGACAAAACAGCGCGUGUUGAAAAUGUUGUCGCAGAGGUGACCCUUGUUCUCGGGAUAAAUGAGGGGAUGAUCCCAGUUGUCAAAGAUGCAGCUGCAUUGGCUAUGUCAGAUCUUGCCACUUCCGUUGUUACGGAAUUAACUUCACUCGCUGGAAUUAUGGCACGCCACUAUGCUUCAAGGGACGGUCUUCCAGAAGAGAUUGCAGAAGCACUAUUCGAGAUAACACUUCCAAGGUUCUCUGGCGAUGUUUUACCAAAAUCAGAUGUUGGCAUAGUCCUUGCGGUUGCUGAUAGAUUGGACAGCCUAGUGGGUCUGUUUGGAGCUGGAUGUCAGCCAAGUUCUUCGAACGAUCCAUUUGGACUGAGAAGGAUCUCUUAUGGAUUGGUUCAAAUAUUGGUUGAUAAUAAGAAGAACUUUGACCUCACGAAGGCCUUGACCUUGGUGGCACAGGUGCAGCCUAUAAGAAUAGACAAUGACGUUAUAAAUGAGGUAGUGCAAUUUGUAACACGGAGACUGGAACAACUUUUGGUGGAUGAGGGAAUUAACUAUGAAAUAGUUCGGUCGGUGCUUAUGGAGCGUGCGAACUGCCCUUAUCUGGCAUCACAAACGGCAGCUGAAAUGGAAGCAUUUUCAAGAACUGAAGAUUUCCCAAAAAUCGUUGAGGCGUAUUCCAGGCCAGUUCGAAUUAUACGUGGGAAGCAAAUCGAGUCUGCUUGGGAGGUUGACACAAGCGUAUUCGAGAAGGACGAAGAAAAGGCCUUGUGGAGCGCCUAUUUGGAGGCUGUCGACAAGAUCCAUCCUGGUGUUGACGUCAAAACCUUCGUCGAGGCCUCCCUGCUUCUGAUACAGCCUUUGGAAGAUUUCUUCAACAAUGUUUUUGUCAUGGCGGAAGAUGAGAAGAUCCGCAACAACCGGCUGGCACUGCUACAAAAGGUUGCGAGUUUGACGAAGGGGAUAGCCGACCUCUCGGCUUUACCAGGGUUUUAG